UUGAAAGUUCCAUGCUUCUGUGCAUUCAAUAGUAAUUAUUAAUCAUAUGGAAUGUAAAGAAGUAUGGAGCGGGUUC
rnacentral:pre_miRNA from 1 species